UGGAACGUUAGCUACUCAUGAAUCUGCUUGUAUCCAAUAGCCAGUUAGCUGGCUAUCGUGACUCUAUGAUAAAAGCUAACGUUAACGUUUAGCGUGAUGACUAGCUUGUUAACGCGGCACUUUUCCAAAAUGACGCCUGGGAUGUAUUCUUUAUUUUAAUCGAUGAGAUCCAGGUUCCUUUGAGUACCGCUGUCACCAUGUUUCAAUAUGCUUUGUGUUGUAGUCACGACAGACAAAUAUAUAUAGUUAAGCAAACUUUACUAUGCAUGUUGUCAACCAGCACAUUCAGUACAUUAAUAAGUGACAUCAUGGACCCCACUCCUGAGCCCAAGACCAGAGCGGAGGUUUGAAAGUCUGCCAAACUAAACCCUGAUUCAGAUGACCAUCCUACCCAUGCUAGAUUACGGAGAUGUAAUUUAUAGAUCGACAGGCCUCACUCACCCCUAUCUGAGAUAUCUACUGCAGCCCUCAUCCUCCACAUACAACAACUGUUCUGCCAGUCGCAUUCUGUUAAAGGUCCCUAAAGCAUACGCAUCCCUGGGUCACUCGUCUUUUCAGUUUGCUGCAGUUAGUGAAUGGAACGAGCUGCAACAAACACUCAAACUGGACAGUUUUAUCUUAAUCUCUUCAUUCGAAGACUCAGUCAUGGAUACUUUUACUGACAGUUGUGGCUGCUUUGCAUGAUGUGUUGUUGUCUCUACAUUCUUGCCCUUUGUGUUGUUGUCUGUGCCCAAUAAUGUUUGUACCAUGUUUUGUGCUGCUACCAUGUUAUUUUUAUAUAUAUUUAUUAUUUUUAUCCCAGCCCCCGUCCCCACAGGAGGCCUUUUGCCUUUUGGUAGGCCGUCAUUGUAAAUAAGAAUUUGUUCUUAACUGACUUGCCUAGUUAAAUAAAGUUUAAAUAAAUACCUUUUAAAACAUUUUUUUUUACAAUAAUGUCAGAAGAAGCAGCUUUAUUUCAUUCAGCAAAAGUUGGCAUUUCUGGGAAAACCGGGGUGAUCUACUCACAGCCAAUGGCAGGUCAUAAUUGUAGGAAACACAUUCGUCAAUUACCCACCUGUCUAAAUAAAAGUGAAACAUUUGAAUUGAAAAAUUAAUUAUUAUUAAAUAGUGGCAAUAUCAUAUCCGCCUUUGUUUGACU
ensembl:lncRNA